rnacentral:rRNA from 1 species
UCGGAAGCUAAGCAGGGUCAGGCCUGGUUAGUACUUGGAUGAGAGACCACCUAGGAAGACCAGGUGCUGUAGGCA